rnacentral:rRNA from 1 species
CGGAUCAGCACGCCGCGGUGAAUACGUUCCCGGGCCUUGUACACACCGCCCGUCACACCAUGGAAGUCUGCAAUGCCCGAAGCCGGUGGCCUAACCACUUAUGUGGAAGGAGCCGUCUAAGGCAGGGCAGAUGACUGGGGUGAAGUCGUAACAAGGUAGC